rnacentral:rRNA from 1 species
UACGGGGGGAGCAAGCGUUGUUCGGAUUUACUGGGCGUAAAGGGUUCGUAGGUGGCUUGCUAAGUCAGACGUGAAAUCCCUCAGCUUAACUGGGGAACUGCGUCUGAGACUGGUGAGCUUGAGUGCAGGAGAGGAACGCGGAAUUCCAGGUGUAGCGGUGAAAUGCGUAGAUAUCUGGAGGAACACCGGUGGCGAAGGCGGCGUUCUGGACUGCUACUGACACUGAGGAACGAAAGCCAGGGGAGCAAACGGG